CAAUAGCGUAUAUUAAAGCUGUUGCGGUUAAAAAGCUCGUAGUUGGAUUUCUGUCAAGGACAACUGGUCCGCCCUCCGGGUGAGCACAUAGUUUGGUCUUGGCAUCUUGCUGGAAGCUGUUGCUGCACUUGGCUGUGUGGCGCAGUGUUCAGCACUUUCACUUUGAGGAAAUUGGAGUGUUUCAAGCAGGCACAUGCCUUUGGACACAGUAGCAUGGUAUAAUUAGAUUGGGCUUUAGCUCCAAUUUGUCGGUUUCUGGAGCUGAGGUGAGUAUUAAUGGGGAUUGUUGGGGGCAUCCGAAUUUAGCCGUCAGAGGUGAAAUUCUUGGAUCUGCUAAAGACGGACAACUGCGAAAGCGUUUGCCCAGGAUGUUUNCAUUGA
rnacentral:rRNA from 1 species